UUGACCUCGGAUCAGUAGGAUACCCGCUGAACUUA
rnacentral:rRNA from 1 species